rnacentral:lncRNA from 1 species
CACAAUACACCACAGUAAUACUGACUGUUGGAGGUGCAGAGUGAAGCCAGGGGAUAUGGAUGUUCUCCUAACCCAUCCAAGUUUCAUGUCAGAAUCAUCUAAACAGCCAAAACUUUUGCAUCAAGUUGUAGAACAACUGGAAAAUUCCACUUUGUCACAGAUAUGCUGUCUAAAGAUGAAACCAAAUUCAUGAGCUCAAAGGUAGCAGCUGGAGAAGGGGAAGAGCUGAAGUGGCCAUGGUGAAAUGACAAGCACCAUGUUCAAAAUAGUCUUUAAUGUGUAGAAGAUGGAGAGGGUCUAAUCUAAAGGACUGUGACAAUCCUGGUAAAAAAUCAUUCACUAUAAAAGCCUCAAUGUAAUGCAGCCAGUUCUAAAAUCUUGGCUUACUGGCCCAACUGAAAAGAACUSCCUCAAGUUGUGAUUUAUUUGUAUGGUGUGUGUGGAUCUUAGUGCUAUUGAGCAAAGACAUUUCUGUUCCUAGACUACUGUCAGCACACUUUUUUUUUUUCUGUUAMGAUAUUGCUAGAGACAGCAGUGACAUUAGAUUAGGUUCCCCAAAAUCUUUGCUAGUUUCAUCUUUAAAGAGAUAAAAACACCGACAGUUCAGCACUCACUUUUACAGACCCACCAGAUUUCCCAGGACAGUUGCAUCAAUAGAGUAGGAAUGACUCCUGUAGGAAUAGUUCAUCUCAUUUUUGCCCAUCCGUUUGAAUGUGAAUAUUGUAUUGAUUUAAAGCUAAAUACACAUCUGUGAGCUAAAGCAGAGACACUCGGCAUCCCAGU